UGAAUAACACAUCCUGAGUAGUAUAAUUGAUUGGGGCAUAUAGUCGAACACCCUGCGUGCAUAAGUGAUGCUGUCGAACUUGGCAAAUCAAUUGUAAUUAGCAGUUAUAUAAACAACACGAGAGCAAUCAUAAAAACUUAACCAAUAAUAAUUAAAUUAUUUCACAUUCAAUCCUUUAUUAAUAUACACUAACAACGAGUGGCUUAUUAUGGUGCAUGUGGUAUAACACUGCAACUGGAAGCACCUUCUUUGUCUCCAACACCUUCCGACUCCUGCAAUGUCGCCACCCAACAUGAACUUCGGAAUUUGGAAGCGCCUCAGGCUCGGACUGACUCAUUAUCGGAACCAAAGUUACCGAAUCCUUUGGAAUUCAUGAAGUCGAAGUUGGUUCUCAUGGUCUCCGUCUCUCUCUCUUUCUCGGGAAGACCUUUGUUACUUACGGAAUUAGUAUUUCUGCUACGUGUCGUCGGAUCCGACGUCGUUUGAAUGACCAACCAGAAACCUCCUCAUCCCGACAAUGUCUUCUAUGCUCGACAGAGGAGUGUAGUGUAGGUAUUUCUCAAAC
rnacentral:lncRNA from 1 species